rnacentral:tRNA from 1 species
GCAUUGGUUGUUCAAUGGUAGCAUUCUCACCUUCCAUGAGGGAGGCCUGAGUUGAAUUCCCAGCCAAUGCA